GGCUAGAUCGAGGGACCGCCCGCGAUUGCUACGCUUCGCGAGCGUGCUUGCCUGCCAUUUCCUCCCGUCCGCCCCCGGCCCGACCCAAUUUCUUCUCCACCCCCCUCCCUCCUCCCCUACCACCACCACCACCACCUCCAUCACCUUCUCUCCCCCUCCUCCCCCCUAGCCAGCUAGCUAGCUCUCUUGCCGUCAUCACACCGCCUCCUCCUCUCCUCUCUCUCUACUCCGCGGCGGCGCAUCUCCAUCGCCCAUUCAUUGUUCUUCGCCCGGCGGCGGCAGUGAGUCGACGCUCUAACGCAGCCCGGCGCCGGCGCCGGCGGGACUGGGCGUGCCAGAAGCGCGGCCGAAAACGCGGAAGUCUGCAAGCCGCGGAGAUGCACAAGAUUAUAGCACUUGUUCUUCUCAUUGUUCGGCUCUGAGCAUUGGUUGAUUCGUGAAGUGAAGAUAGCAUGGGCCCUGGGACGGCAUCCGCGUCCUGGGGUUUGCAACUCGGCGUGGUGCUGGUCUUUCUGCUGGCCUCUGGCUGCCAGGGGCUGAGCCAUGAGGGCUGGCUUCUCCUGGCGCUCAAGAGCCAGAUGAUUGACAGUUACCACCACCUUGACAACUGGAACCCCAAGGAUCCAUCGCCGUGCGCGUGGAGUGGUGUCAACUGCUCCUCCUCCUCGUCGUCGUCGAGGCUAGCAGUGGUGUCUCUCAACGUCAGCAACAUGAACCUGUCGGGCACCGUCGGCCCCGGCAUUGGCGGUCUUACCGAGCUGACUAGCCUCGAUCUGUCCUUCAAUGAGUUCUCUGGUGCCAUCCCUCCGGACAUCGGGAAUUGCUCAAAACUGGUGUUGCUCAACUUGAAUAACAACAAUUUUGAUGGUACAAUCCCCCCUGAGCUUGGGAAGCUGGCCAUGCUGACCGGAUGCAAUCUGUGCAAUAACAGGCUCCAUGGUCCAAUACCUGAUGAGAUUGGUAACAUGUCAUCACUUCAAGACUUGGUGGGGUACAGUAACAAUCUCUCCGGUUCUAUACCGCAUUCGGUCGGCAAGCUCAAGCACCUCAAGACCAUCCGGCUGGGACAGAAUCUUAUAUCUGGCAGCAUUCCUGCCGAGAUAGGCGAAUGCCGCAACCUGACCGUGUUUGGUCUUGCGCAGAACAAGUUGGAAGGGCCUUUGCCAAAAGAGAUUGGGAGAUUGGGUCUCAUGACAGACCUCAUCCUGUGGGGAAAUCAGCUUUCUGGCCCCCUUCCUCCAGAGAUCGGGAAUUGUACAAAUCUCAGGACUAUUGCCCUUUAUGAUAAUGAUCUGGUUGGUCCUAUACCUGCAGCAAUUGGGAACAUUACUUAUCUUGAGAAGCUGUAUCUUUACAGGAAUUCGAUAAAUGGUACCAUUCCAUCUGAAAUUGGGAAGCUUUCUUUUGCAGAGGAGGUUGAUUUUUCAGAGAAUUUCUUAACGGGAGGGAUACCAAAGGAGUUGGGCAACAUACCAGGGUUGUAUCUACUCUACCUCUUCCAGAAUCAGCUUACUGGCUUUAUUCCUAGUGAGUUGUGUGGAUUGAGGAACUUGAGCAAGCUUGAUCUUUCGAUCAAUUCACUCACUGGCCCAAUUCCAGCCGGAUUUCAGUACAUGACCAAGCUAAUCCAGUUGCAACUCUUCAACAAUAUGCUAUCAGGGGACAUACCUCCAAGGUUUGGCAUUUACAGUCGACUGUGGGUGGUGGAUUUCUCAAACAACAACAUUACAGGGCAGAUACCUAGAGAUCUUUGUAGGCAGUCAAACCUUAUUUUGUUGAAUCUGGGGUCUAACAAGUUGACUGGAAACAUACCUCACAGAAUCACCAGCUGUAAAUCCUUGGUGCAGCUUCGUCUCAGUGACAACAGUCUGACAGGAAGCUUCUCCACUGAUCUCUGCAAUCUGGUGAAUUUGACAACAAUCGAGCUGGCUCGAAACAAGUUCAAUGGCCCUAUUCCUCCUCAGAUAGGGAACUGCAAUGCUCUGCAGAGGCUUAACCUUGCAAAUAAUUAUUUCACAUCUGAGUUGCCCCGAGAAAUAGGGAAAUUGUCAAAGCUUGUCGUCUUCAAUAUCUCAUCUAACAGGCUAGGAGGAAGCAUACCACUGGAGAUCUUCAAUUGUACAACAUUGCAGCGUCUUGAUCUCAGCCAGAAUAGCUUUGAAGGUUCAUUGCCAAAUGAAGUUGGUAGACUGCCUCAACUGGAGCUUCUCUCGUUCGCUGAUAAUAGGCUAUCUGGGCAGAUGCCACCUAUUCUUGGUAAACUUUCACAUUUGACAGCACUGCAGAUUGGUGGCAAUCAAUUCUCUGGUGGAAUACCAAAGGAGCUGGGGCUGCUCUCAAGCUUGCAGAUUGCCAUGAAUUUGAGCUAUAAUAAUCUCUCUGGGAAUAUACCAUCAGAGCUUGGCAGUCUUGCAUUAUUGGAAAGUUUGUUUCUCAAUAAUAACAACCUGACAGGUGAAAUCCCAGAUACAUUUGUAAACCUGUCAAGUUUGCUUCAGCUCAAUGUCUCGUACAAUAAUCUCACCGGUACUCUUCCCCCUGUGCCGCUUUUUGACAACAUGGUUGUGACCAGCUUUAUUGGAAACAGAGGACUCUGUGGUGGACAACUUGGCAAGUGUGGAUCUGAGUCACCCUCCUCUUCCCAGGCAUCCGACUCGGUCAGUCGUCCUAUGGGCAAGAUCAUAGCAAUUAUUGCCGCCAUUAUUGGAGGAGUAUCACUUAUUCUUAUUGCCAUACUUUUGCACCAUAUGAGGAAACCAUUAGAAACAGUAGCCCCUUUGCAAGACAAGCAAAUUCUAUCUGCUGGGUCUAACAUUCCUGUUUCUGCGAAGGAUGCGUAUACAUUUCAGGAACUGGUCUCUGCUACAAAUAAUUUUGAUGAUAGUUGUGUCAUUGGACGGGGUGCUUGUGGGACUGUGUACAAAGCCGUCCUGAAGCCUGGGCAGAUAAUUGCGGUAAAGAAGUUGGCUUCAAACAGGGAAGGAAGCAACACGGAUAACAGCUUCCGUGCGGAGAUCAUGACUCUUGGAAAGAUAAGACAUCGUAACAUUGUGAAGCUGUACGGUUUCAUCUAUCACCAGGGUGCAAACCUUUUGUUGUAUGAGUACAUGCCAAGAGGCAGCCUUGGAGAGCUACUUCACGGAGAAUCUUCUUCUUCACUCGAUUGGGAGACACGCUUCACGAUAGCCCUUGGGGCAGCUGAAGGGCUUUCAUACUUGCAUCAUGAUUGCAAGCCUCGGAUCAUCCACCGUGAUAUCAAGUCAAAUAACAUUUUACUUGAUGACAACUUUGAAGCUCAUGUUGGUGACUUUGGGUUGGCUAAGGUAAUUGACAUGCCAGUCUCAAAGUCUAUGUCUGCAAUUGCUGGUUCAUAUGGCUAUAUUGCACCAGAGUAUGCGUACACCAUGAAGGUGACUGAGAAAUCUGACAUAUACAGCUAUGGUGUCGUGCUGUUGGAGCUGCUAACCGGCCGUGCGCCUGUGCAACCGAUAGAAUUGGGAGGUGAUCUGGUAACAUGGGCCAAAAAUUACAUCAGGGACAAUUCUCUGGGUCCAGGGAUAUUUGACAGUAAUCUUGAUUUGGAAGAUAAAGCCGUCGUCGAUCAUAUGAUCGAGGUCUUGAAAAUUGCUCUGCUAUGUAGUAACCUGUCGCCGUACGAGAGACCGCCGAUGCGGCAUGUUGUAGUUAUGUUAAGCGAGUCCAAAGAUAGGGCCCGGGCGAGCUCGGCGUCGUCGCCUGCUUCUGAUAAUUCUUCGAAGAAGGAUAGCUCAUGAUUGGGAUUGUGUAUGUAUCGGCAGUGAACUUCCUCAAGGUGCCUCCAGGGUCACUCUACUCCACCGAACAAGCCACACCCGUCAGAGGUCAGACCACUACCAAUCUACCAUGGCAGCAGAGGAAGCAGGGAGCCGGGACCCGCACGUCGUCCUCUUCCCCUUCCUCGCGCGCGGCCACAUCCCCGCCUUCCUCCGCCUCGCCGGCCUCCUCCACGAGCUGCGCCCGGGCAUCGCCGUCACCCUCGUCUCCACCGCGCGCAUCCUCGAUUCCAUCUCCCUCCCGCCCACCAACCCUCCUAUCCGCCUCCACGCGCUCCCGUUCGCGCCCGCGGACCACGGCCUGCCUCCCGGCGCCGACUCCCUCGCCGACCUCCACGUCCACCAGUUCAUCACCUUCUUCCAGGCGUCCGAGUCCCUCCGCCCCGCCUUCGAAGCGUUCGUCUCCGGCAUCCGGUCCCCGGUCUGCAUCGUCGCCGACGCCUUCUUCGGCUGGACGGCGGACGUCGCGCGCGCGCACCGCGCGUUCCACGCGGUCUUCCUCACCGGCGGCGCCUUCGGCUUCGCCGUCUUCUUCUCCGUGUGGGAGCACCUGCCGCACAGGCUCGCCGCCGGCGACGAGUUCCCUCUGUCCGAUUUCCCCACCGUCGUCCUCCACCGCACGCAGAUCCCGCGGUACAUGCUCGCGGCGACCGGGUCCGAUCCCUGGUCGGCCUUCUUCCGGCGGGUCAUCCCGCUUUGCCGCAAGACCGAUGCGGUGCUCGUCAACACCGUCCAAGAGCUCGAGUCUUCCGGCCUAGACAUGCUCAGGAGGACCUUCGGCGUCCAGCCAUGGCCAAUCGGGCCGAUUCUCGCGGCGCCGACGACUCCGUCGGACUCGCAUGACGAUGCCGGCAUCAUCCGGUGGCUGGACGCGCACCCGCCGCGCUCGGUCCUGUACAUAUCCUUCGGCUCGCAGAACAGCAUCAACGCCGAUCAGAUGACGGAGCUGGCACUGGGCCUGGAGGCCAGCGGGCGGCCGUUCCUUUGGGUCCUCCGGCCACCGCUGGGGCUCGACGCGAAGGACGGAUUCAGGCCGGAGUGGCUCCCGGCAGGCUUCGAGGAGCGAACGGCCGGGGCCAAGAGGGGACUGCUGGUGCGCGGCUGGGCGCCGCAGAUGCGGAUCCUGGCGCACCCGUCCACCGGCGCGUUCAUGAGCCACUGCGGGUGGAACUCCAUCCUGGAGAGCCUGUGCCACGGCGUGCCGGUGAUCGGGUGGCCGCUGGGGGCCGAGCAGUUCUUCAACGCGAUGCUGGUGGUGGAGUGGGGCGUCUGCGUGGAGGUGGCGCGGGGGAACAUGGAGAGCUCGGUGGUGGCGAUGGGGGCCGUGGCCGACGCCGUGGGGACGGUGAUGGGGGAGACGGAGAAGGGCGGCGAGAUGAGAAGGAAGGCGGAGGUGAUCGCGCGCGCGAUGGCGGCCGCUUGGGAGGGACCGCGUGGGUCGUCGGCGGUGAGCUUGGAGGGGUUCCUCGGAUGCGUUGAAAUUUGAGACGUCCGUGCGUUGAGAUUUCCGCCUCGAUGCUGUUACGGGGGGAUUUUCCUGCAAAAAAAACAACGGUUUUGCUAAAACUCGGGCUGUGUUUGACAACAAAGCAGUGUAAAAACUGUGGUAUUGGAAAACUACGGUAUUUUAAACUACAGGCACUAGAUACCACAGUUUUCACA